AAAGCCCUGCAAGCUGCGAAGUCCCAAGUUCCACUUGGGAUACGAAACUAAAGAAAUUUUCAUAGCAGCUGUGGGGUUUU
rnacentral:ncRNA from 1 species